rnacentral:rRNA from 1 species
CGAACGCUGGCGGCAGGCUAACCAUGCAAGUCGAGCGCGCCUUCGGGUGAGCGGCGGACGGGUUAGUAACGCGUGGGAACGUGCCCUUCUCUACGGAAUAGCCUCUGGAAACGGAGAGUAAUACCGUAUACGCCCUUUGGGGGAAAGAUUUAUCGGAGAAGGAUCGGCCCGCGUUAGAUUAGGUAGUUGGUGAGGUAACGGCCUACCAAGCCUACGAUCUAUAGCUGGUUUUAGAGGAUGAUCAGCAACACUGGGACUGAGACACGGCCCAGACUCCUACGGGAGGCAGCAGUGGGGAAUCUUAGACAAUGGGGGCAACCCUGAUCUAGCCAUGCCGCGUGAGUGAUGAAGGCCUUAGGGUCGUAAAGCUCUUUCGCCUGUGAUGAUAAUGACAGUAGCAGGUAAAGAAACCCCGGCUAACUCCGUGCCAGCAGCCGCGGUAAUACGGAGGGGGUUAGCGUUGUUCGGAAUUACUGGGCGUAAAGCGCGCGUAGGCGGAUUAGAAAGUUGGGGGUGAAAUCCCGGGGCUCAACCCCGGAACUGACUCCAAAACUGCUAGUCUAGAGUUCGAGAGAGGUGAGUGGAAUUCCGAGUGUAGAGGUGAAAUUCGUAGAUAUUCGGAGGAACACCAGUGGCGAAGGCGGCUCACUGGCUCGAUACUGACGCUGAGGUGCGAAAGUGUGGGGAGCCAACAGGAUUAGAUACCCUGGUUAGUCACAGCGUAAACGAUG